UUGUUGCAGUUAAAAAGCUCGUAGUUGGAUUUCUGGUCGAGUGUCCCUAGGCCGACUUGACGUUUGGUCCUAGGCGCUCUGCCAUCCUUCUGUUAACUCUCGCCUCGUUCGUUCGUGGCGUUAGGGCUCAGAUAUUUUACCUUGAGAAAAUUAGAGUGUUUCAGGCAGGCUUUCGCCGGAAUACAUUAGCAUGGAAUAAUGGAAAAGGACUUCAACCUCUUCUGUUGGUCUGAGAGGAUGUAGUAAUGAUUAAUAGGGAUAGUUGGGGGCAUUAGUACUUAACUGUCAGUGGUGAAAUUCUCCGAUUUGUUAAAGACUAACUUAUGCGAAAGCAUUUGCCAAGGAUGUUUUCAUUAAUCAAGUACGAAAGUUAGGGGAUCGAAGACGAUCAGAUACCGUCCUAGUCUUAACCAUAAACUAUGCCGACUCGGGAUCGGGGGCACGCAAUAUCGGCCUUCGGCACCGUAUGAGAAAUCAAAGUCUUUGGGNUUCUGGGGGGNGUAUGGUCGCAAGGCUGAAACUUAAAGGAAUUGACGGAAGGGCACCACCAGGCGUGG
rnacentral:rRNA from 1 species